ACAGCCACAUCACAUUGAAACACGGGUUCCCCAUAUGAUCACCAAAGUUAAGCAUCAUCAAGCCUGGUCAGUACCUAGAUGGGUGACUGUUUGGGAAUACGAGGUGCUGUAA